UACGUAGGGUGCGAGCGUUGCCCGGAUUUAUUGGGCGUAAAGGGCGCGUAGGCGGCCACGCACGUCCGUUGUGAAAUCGCCCGGCUCAACUGGGCGGGGUCAGCGGAUACGGUGUGGCUCGAGCAAGCUAGGGGGCAAUGGAAUUCCCGGUGUAGUGGUGGAAUGCGUAGAUAUCUGGAGGAAUACCGGUGGCGAAGGCGGCUAUCUGGCCAUAUAUUGACGCUGAGAUACGAAAGCGUGGGGAGCAAACAGG
rnacentral:rRNA from 1 species